rnacentral:lncRNA from 1 species
CAGCGCUGAAAUACAAGGCCUUUUAUGUGUGUAGAACAAGGAGUGGCAGAACAACUCUCCUGUUGUUUCCCAGCUGCAUAGCAACCCAGCCUGCUCUAAAGGUGCCUAUAGACCUUGUUUUUCAGGGCACUGUGACUUAUCUUUCUGGAAAACUUACAUAACAGACAAUGUUUAGUUGAGAAGAAUGCUGUGAAAAAUUUCACUUGCGCUGUGGACACCGUAUCUUCUGGCCUUACUGUAAUAUACCAGGUCCAGUGUCAGCUGCUAUAGUGCACCACUACUGUGAAGGAUUUCAAGAACUGCAGAUAUAGCGUCAGGGAGUGCAGAUGGGCAAAAGAAACAUUAAGUUGGAAAUCAGCUGGGAAAACUGAGCUCUGCCACAUAAAACUAUCCUCCGAAGCAUCUACUGGGAUCCUCUGAAGCCAUCUAGUGGGAAAGAACAAUACAGAGAAUGAUUACUUGAGGAAAUUGUACUAUAAUUCCAGUGGAAUGUGAGAAAAAAAAAUCUGCUGUGCAAACUUAAAACAAAGUAUCUUAACCAUUUUGACACACAAAAUAGUUUUACCUUGGGAUGCCCUG